ensembl:lncRNA
CUGUGUGUGCGCACGGAAAGGCAGUUGUGGUGAUGUGCAGGGCUGCAGAGAAGAGCUGGGCUGGGUCAUGACCAGCUCCGCGAGUUACCCAGUUUAUCCGGUCUUUUGUUACUCUGAGGACGGAGGGGAGUUGUUGGAGGCUCUUCAGCAGAGGAGUGAGACGAGCAGGCUUAAAACGACCUCCAUGCCACGUGCGGACAACCGCCGGAGCGGGACCCGUCUAGGCAGAUCAGCUGGAGCUGACACUGGCCACUUCUGUGCCGUGUGUCUCCCGGGACGGUGGGAUGGGAGACAGGGAACCAGAGCUGGAAUUGCGCAUGAUGAAACAGCAGUACUGAUCAUAAUCGCGGAACCCAGCGCUGACUCAGCACUUGCUGUCUACACCUAGUCGGUUCUUGUUAUCUGCACGUUAUGCUUGACAAAGUUGCCACAAACACUGCUCCUAGGAGAGACAUAGGUCAGGUUCCUGUGAGCUUGUGAGAGCACUUUCCUCAAAUGAUCAGCCUACAGCCUCGCCUGAUGUGCUUCUGUUUAAAAGCUUCUCAGCACGCAUUAUUGACUCAUUCACGUGGAACUCACAGCCAUCAGUGUAUAACAGCCUGAACGCUUCUCGAAGACACAUUCCCCUCCAUAAGCUUUCUUGCACUUAGGGUGCAAGGCAGCACUUCAGCACAAGGCUUGGGGCCUGUUUUAAACAGUGAGAUCACCGACAAAAGGCGCAAAUAUGUGAAAAAUGUGGAAGUAAGCAGACCGUGAAAGUGUCGCUUGUUUGCAGAAUGAGCAGAAACAAGGAGACACAGCACAGUCUGGCUCCACCGCAGCCCAACUGGAGAGCGGGGCGACCAGCUUUUCACGCCUCUGCACCUGCCCCCACUCACUGAGAACAUGCAUGCAAGUAUUAACUUUGGGUUACAAACAAACUUUGGCCAGUGGGUGAAUUUGCAAUAUAGAACCCCUGAAUAAAGAGGGUCAGGAGAUAUAUUAUUUUUAUUUCGUCCUCAUAACAACCCUGCAAGAUAGGAACCACGAUCCCCUUGAUUUUCACAUGGCAUUGUGAAAAGGGAGUGGAGGUUGAAUCGCCCCCAACAUCACAGCUACGGAACAGCGGCGUCAGGACCCUAGCCCAGGCCGGCUGACUCCGAGCCUAGACCCCGUCGGCGUUUCCAGUGGGUUAUGCCUUCAGGGCAUCUUACGCAGCAUUUUUUUUGGAAACUGAGUUUGACUCACAGGGCAUGAGAAGCAAGAAAGUCCGGAUCUCCAGUAUUACAUUCUAAGUAAAAUUUCUUAAACCCAGGUACAGGUUAAAAGCUGUGAAAUUGCCCUUUUCAGGUUAAACAGAGUCAGACUUUGGCAAUUUCACAUGGUUCAGCCUCACAUAUCCUUGGAAAGCUUUCUCCCCAUUAGUAGAGGUAGUUUAUUUCAUCGUUUUGUACACACAAAACUCAAGUUACUAUACUUCAAAAGGAAAAAUUUAAAAAACGAGAUAGACAGACUCUUUUUGUUAAAUAGAAGCAUAGAGGCGUAUCAUUUUACAGCAUUGAUGCUUUUGAACUGUGGUGUUGGAGAAGACUCUUGAGAGUCCC